UCAAAACAAAUCAGCAUUUCCUAAUACAUCUCAAAAAACAAAAGUGUUUUUUAAAACCUUAUGUUGUUUUCUGAAACGUUGUAGUGGUUGAAUCUUGUGGUUUUUUGGGGAAGUGUUUUGUUUUGGAGAGGCUGAAGUGUUUCGAGCCUCAGAAACGCCGUUAGUUUGUCAGUGUUGAUAGAAACCUCUGGAAGGGAACGUGGUGAACAAAUCCCCUGAAUGAAAACUGCCUUGUGAAAACGACGAAACGCCAGGUUUAAAAUGUUGCCGACACAAAUAUGGAGGAAUCCGAAAACUUUGUCAGGGUGAAUCCAGAGAGACUCUCAGAGGGAUUUUAUGUGUAAGUGUCUUUAACUCCAGCCGUUGACUUUAAACUUGUACAUGAUGCCAAUAAUCUGUUUAUUUGUACAGUUGAAUAUUUGCACUGUAAGAUGGAAAGCAAAAAAAGAGCGAAAAAGUCACGAUUUCAAAUGUUGAAAAAAGUUAACUUUAGCACCACUUUAAUCGACCAUGUUGUUUGUAACAGAACUGCCUUAUUUAUUAAAAUGGAUCAUGACAAACAAAGCUAACAUAUCAUUUACUGCAAUGAUUUCUUUUUUUGUUUUUAUUUGUAUGCGCAUGGAAAUGUGGAAAAGUCAUCACAAUGUUUUCAUCAAAAACUCACUAAAGAUUUUUUAAAGAAAAAAACGUCCCAAAAAGUCCUUGUUCCAAAUGUCCAAAGGGGACAGCUCACCGGAGCCACAACCUGCGGGAGGAACACAGGCCGACGCCCACCAACGGCGCCGCAGCAGGCCGCUGCAGAGACGGGGACACGCUUCGUGGGAAAGCGGAGCGGUGAGCGCACGCCUCAGCUCCUCCAGCAAUCAAGGACAGGCAGCCCAGCUGUGAGGGGGUGCGUCCAGCGCUGAGAGGAGGACAGACACCAUGGCAGAGGGACACGGGACAGACGAGACUGACCAUGAUAGGAGGCUGCCAGCUGAUGAAGGAACAAGACAGCGGACAGCUCACCGGAGCCACAACCUGCGGGAGGAACACAGGCCGACGCCCACCAACGGCGCCGCUUCGUGGGAAAGCGUAGCGGUGAAUGCACGCUUCAGCUCC